rnacentral:rRNA from 1 species
CAGGAUGAACGCUAGCGGCAGGCCUAACACAUGCAAGCCGAGGGGUAAGUCUCUUUCNGGGAGAACACGACCGGCGCACGGGUGAGUAACGCGUAUGCAACCUACCUUUGGCACGGGGACAGCCCGGGGAAACCCGGGUUAAUACCCGGUAUAGUCUGUUAUACACCUGUAUAAAAGACGAGAGCUACGGCGGCCAAAGAUGGGCAUGCGUGCCAUUAGUUAGUUGGUAGGGUAACGGCCUACCAAGGCAUCGAUGGCUACGGGGUCUAAAAGGAUGAGCCCGCACACUGGUACUGAGACACGGACCAGACUCCUACGGGAGGCAGCAGUGAGGAAUAUUGGUCAAUGGGUGGAAGCCUGAACCAGCCAUGCCGCGUGCAGGAAGACGGCCUUAUGGGUUGUAAACUGCUUUUCUACGGGACGAACGGCUCUGACGCGUCAGGGAUUGACGGUACCGUAGGAAUAAGCAUCGGCUAACUCCGUGCCAGCAGCCGCGGUAAUACGGAGGAUGCGAGCGUUAUCCGGAUUUAUUAGGUUUAAAGGGUGCGUAGGCUGGGCAAUAAGUCAGUGGUGAAAGUCCGCGGCUCAACCGUGGGAUUGCCAUUGAAACUGUUGUUCUUGAGUACAGUCGAGGUAGGCGGAAUGUGUAAUGUAGCGGUGAAAUGCAUAGAUAUUACCCAGAACACCGAUUGCGUAGGCAGCUUACCAGCCUGGAACUGACGCUGAUGCACGAAAGCGUGGGGAGCGAACAGGAUUAGAUACCCUGGUAGUCCACGCCGUAAACGAUGAUCACUCGCUGUUGGCAAUAUAGAGUCAGCGGCUGAGCGAAAGCAUUAAGUGAUCCACCUGGGGAGUACGUCGGCAACGAUGAANACUCAAGGAAUUGACGGGGGCCCGCACAAGCGGUGGAACCAUGUGGUUUAAUUCGAUGAUACGCGAGGAACCUUACCUGG